CAGCGUCAGCCUGCGGAAGGGCCUCCUCACCAAUCUGGUGAGCAGCUUGCUGAACAAGUCUCUUAAGUCCCUUGUCCCUGCGCUGUUCUGCCCAUUAGUGAACGCCUGGGUCAGCAUCAUCAACAUUAAUCUGCAAUUCCUCAACCGCGUCAUCUCCUUUGGGCUUCUGGGGAAAAUCUACUCUGCCCUCUCCAAACUGCCAGUGACAGCCGGGCACUAUGUGGAGCUGGAUCUGCAGAAUUCCCCAUUCCCAAGCACCUUCAUCGACUGGCUCCUUCAGA